rnacentral:rRNA from 1 species
GGAUUAAUUUAUCGGUCGUGCAAUAGUACGUACUGGUAUUAUUGAUUCCUACCUUCUGACGAACCAUGAUGUCAUUAAUUUGGUGUCAUGGGGAAUCAGGACUGUUACUUUGAAAAAAUUAGAGUGUUUAAAGCAGGCUCACGCUUGAAUACAUUAGCAUGGAAUAACGAAAUAGGACGUUUGAUUCUAUUUUGUUGGUUUCUAGGAUCGACGUA